AUGAACGCUGGCGGCGUGCCUAAUACCUGCAAGUCGAGCGAACAGACGAGGAGCUUGCUCCUCUGACGUUAGCGGCGGCCGGGUGAGUAACACGUGGAUAACCUACCUAUAAGACUGGGAUAACUUCGGGAAACCGGAGCUAAUACCGGAUAAUAUAUUGAACCGCAUGGUUCAAUAGUGAAAGACGGUUUUGCUGUCACUUAUAGAUGGAUCCGCGCCGCAUUAGCUAGUUGGUAAGGUAACGGCUUACCAAGGCGACGAUGCGUAGCCGACCUGAGAGGGUGAUCGGCCACACUGGAACUGAGACACGGUCCAGACUCCUACGGGAGGCAGCAGUAGGGAAUCUUCCGCAAUGGGCGGAAGCCUGACGGAGCAACGCCGCGUGAGUGAUGAAGGUCUUCGGAUCGUAAAACUCUGUUAUUAGGGAAGAACAAAUGUGUAAGUAACUAUGCACGUCUUGACGGUACCUAAUCAGAAAGCCACGGCUAACUACGUG
rnacentral:rRNA from 1 species